rnacentral:lncRNA from 1 species
UACCAGCUGUGGGUACUACUCUCAGUGUUGGAGAUCAUCAAAAUACAAUUGGACCAGACCCUUUGGAAAUAAUUCUGUGUCUCAAAUGCCCUGUGGAGCACACACUUAAUCAGUUGAUGGCUAUGGAAUUUUCCAACAUCAGCUAAAGAGAAGGGAUAGAGUGGUGACUUCCAAGCUUCAUGCAGAACCGGACAACAGAAAUUGAGAGGGAAAUUUUUAUGACAGAAGAGAGAAAGAAGAAAAUUGCUGGAAUAAUGACCUUGAAUAGAGGAAAUGGGAUAUCAUCUGGUAAGCAAAUAGAGAAGCUGGCUUUAGAUAAGAGCCUGGGCAAUUCAUUCAUAGAAUAGCAGAAAAGGCAGAAUUUAUGUGCAUAGAUGCAAGUGGUAUAGUAGAUAUAGUGAUGGGAGUUUGUAAAAGUUACCUUCUAAUUGCUAAUUUUUUCCAAUGAAAUAAGAAACAAAGUCAUCAACUCAAAGUGAGUAAUAUGU